UUGUGUGAUGGAUCGAAUCCGAAAACUGGGACAAAAUGCCAUAGCCGCCGCCUCCAGCAUGACGGAUAGGGUUCUGAUGAGUUGAAUCUGAUAUUGGUAGUGACUUGACAAGGAUUCAAUGUGACGCUCCAUGCGAUAGCUGUGCCAAGGGAGCACACCCGUAUUACAAACCCGCUGCUAUAACAACAAUUGUGAAUGCAUUUGAAUGUUGAAUUGCAUCUUCCUCUUUGUUAGUGCCUCAAGCACAACCCGUCGCCG